rnacentral:rRNA from 1 species
UACGUGGGGUGCAAGCGUUGUUCGGAAUUACUGGGCGUAAAGCGCGUGUAGGCGGCUCGCUAAGUCUGAUGUGAAAUCCCUGAGCUUAACUCAGGAACUGCAUCGGAAACUAGCGGGCUAGAGUUCGGGAGAGGGCGGUGGAAUUCCUGGUGUAGAGGUGAAAUUCGUAGAUAUCAGGAGGAACACCGGUGGCGAAGGCGGGUCUCUGGGCAGUAACUGACGCUGAGGAGCGAAAGCGUGGGGAGCGAACAGG